AAUUAAUAUUAUUGUUUUAUUAAAGUUUAUUUUAAGAUAUUUGAAUUAAGUAAAUUAAGGUUAUUGUAUAAUGAAUUGAUAUAAUUAUUUUUACUAUAGUGUAUUAGUACUGUAAAGGAAAUUUGAAUUAUUUUUAUAAUUAAUUAAAGGUAAUUUUAUUUAUUGUAUCUUGUGUAUCAGAGUAUAUUGAAAUGAAUUAUAGAUAUUUUUCUUCUCGAAUUUAAAUGAUUUAAUUAAAAAUAUUAGUUAUUGUUUCAUAAAUAUUAAUAAUUUUUAAUUAGUAAUGAGACGUUAUUCGUUUUUAAGGAUAUCUAGUUUUUUAAUAAACGAAUUUAAUUCGGAGGGUUUAAGUUAUUAAAUAAUUUUAUAUUUGAAUAUUUUAAACUCUUAAUUUUGGAGGGGAUUAACUCUUUAAAAUAUAAAUUAUAAUAUAUUUAAAAAUAUAGGAUUUUAUGAAUUUAGAAUUUGUUAAUGGUUAAAGGAUGUUAAAAUUUAAUUCUUGUUUUGUUUAGAUUUAUAAAUUUUAUUUAAUUUUUAUAUUAAAAUGUUGUAUAUAAUUUAAAAGUUUUUGAGAAUAUGAUUUAAUUAGUAAAAUUAUUAUUGUAAUGUAUUAAUAUAAUUGAUUUUUUAGUAUAAAGAACUAGGCAAAUAUUUCACUCGCCUGUUUAUUAAAAACAUGGUUUCUUGUAGUUAUUUAAGAAAUUUGACCUGCCCACUGAAAUUUUUUUUGAAGGGCCGCAGUAUUUUGACUGUGCAAAGGUAGCAUAAUCAUUAGUCUUUUAAUUAAGGGCUGGUAUGAAUGGUUGGACGAGGUGAAUUCUGUUUUAUAUUAAUUUGUGUUGAAUUUAGAAUUUAAGUAAAAAUACUUAAAUGUUGUUAAGGGACGAGAAGACCCUAUAGAGUUUAAUAUCAGUAGUAAUUAACUGAGUUAUAUACUUAAUUUUUGGUUAUUAUGAAAUAUAUUUAAUUGGGGUGAUUAGAAGAUAAAAUUAACUCUUCUUUAUACUUAAUAUUAUGUUUAGUUAAGUGAUCCAUAUAUAAUGAUUAAAAGAUUAAAUUACCUUAGGGAUAACAGCAUAAUUCUUUUUGAGAGUUCAUAUCGAAAAAGGAGAUUGUGACCUCGAUGUUGGAUUAAGAUUAGUUAUGGGUGCAGAUGUUCAAUAACUAGGUCUGUUCGACCUUGAAAAUCUUACAUGAUCUGAGUUUAAACCGGCGUGAGCCAGGUUGGUUUCUAUCUUUAAUAGAUUUAAAUAUUUUAGUACGAGAGGACCAAAUAUUUAAAAUAAUUUUUGUUUUAUUUGAAUAUUAUUAAUUGA
rnacentral:rRNA from 1 species